ACACUCCUACGGGAGGCAGCAGUGGGGAAUAUUGCACAAUGGGCGCAAGCCUGAUGCAGCCAUGCCGCGUGUAUGAAGAAGGCCUUCGGGUUGUAAAGUACUUUCAGCGGGGAGGAAGGCGAUAAGGUUAAUAACCUUGUUGAUUGACGUUACCCGCAGAAGAAGCACCGGCUAACUCCGUGCCAGCAGCCGCGGUAAUACGGAGGGUGCAAGCGUUAAUCGGAAUUACUGGGCGUAAAGCGCACGCAGGCGGUCUGUCAAGUCGGAUGUGAAAUCCCCGGGCUCAACCUGGGAACUGCAUUCGAAACUGGCAGGCUAGAGUCUUGUAGAGGGGGGUAGAAUUCCAGGUGUAGCGGUGAAAUGCGUAGAGAUCUGGAGGAAUACCGGUGGCGAAGGCGGCCCCCUGGACAAAGACUGACGCUCAGGUGCGAAAGCGUGGGGAGCAAACAGGAUUAGAUACCCCAGUAGUCCCA
rnacentral:rRNA from 1 species